AUGGAAGGGGACCGCGCGGGAGGGCCCGCGGCCGCGGAUCUGCGCCGGGACAUGGCGGCGUGCGAGCGGCGGAUCGCGCAGGGCCGCGACCGCACCGCGGCGGCCGCCUCCGCCUUCCGCGGCGCAGUCCUCUCCGCCCGCUCGCUCGCCGAGCACAGCGUCGCGCACCGAGAAAAGCUCAACGCUCUCAAGGACCAGCUCAGGGGACUGGAGGCAGCUCUGGCAGAAGCUCUGUCCACACAACUGAAGAAAGAAUCAGAAUGUAAGCACACCAGCGAGUCGAUCUCGAACGCCACUGCAACGAACGAGCAGCUCAGAGGCCUGGUCUCGGAGCAGAGGGCUAGGAGAGAUGAGUAUGCAAAUGUCAUAGCACAUCAGCUUGAAGCUGUCGAAGCUCUUGAAGCUAAUGUUGAUGCGACGGGGAAAAAGAACCUGGACGAAGCUAUCACGUGGUACGACAAAUUUCUUGGGUUUCGAGUUGUUGCAGGGGAAGGGGUUAAAUUUGUCUUCAAUAAAGUGGACAUGCAAAGUCCUGACGAUGAGUAUUCGUUUUGCAUAAAGGUCAAUAAAGACGAAUACAGCUUAAUUCAAUGUAUUCCGUUACUGAAAGACACUGAGGAGCUGGUGAAGGAUUUGAACCGCACUAACGAUCUCUUCAAGUUCGUUAGAACCAUGAGAGCAAGAUUCCAAGCGGCUGGCAUCAAAGGGGUUCAUCCUGCAACUUCAUUGUGCCAAGACACAUCAUCCACACCAAUUUCAUCACCACCGGCUGUGUCAGUUGAUACCACAAGCGAAGGCAGCACCAAUCAAAGUCAUUCCCGAAGCCGGUCAAAGAAUCAAGAUACACGUGCAAAGAGAGGUGCCCCUCCCCGAUCAACAGCAUCUCCCCUUACAUCGGGAUCUGCCACCCGCCGCUCCCCACGCUUUGCUGCUGCUGACGCAGGGAAUAAGCAUUAA
rnacentral:rRNA from 1 species